AUUGAACGCUGGCGGCAGGCUUAACACAUGCAAGUCGAGCGAGCGGCGGACGGGUGAGUAAUGUCUGGGAAACUGCCUGAUGGAGGGGGAUAACUACUGGAAACGGUAGCUAAUACCGCAUACCAUCAGAUGUGCCCAGAUGGGAUUAGCUAGUUGGUGGGGUAAUGGCUCACUUAGGCGACGAUCCCUAGCUGGUCUGAGAGGAUGACCAGCAACACUGGAACUGAGACACGGUCCAGAGUCCGACGGGAGGCAGCAGUGGGGAAUAUUGCACAAUGGGCGCAAGCCUGAUGAAGCCAUGCCGCGUGUGUGAAGAAGGCCUUCGGGUUGUAAAGUACUUUCAGCGAGGAGGCGUUACUCGCAGAAGAAGCACCGGCUAACUCCGUGCCAGCCGCCGCGGUAAUAC
rnacentral:rRNA from 1 species